rnacentral:tRNA from 1 species
GGUCUUGUAUUCAAAAAUGAUUUUAGAAUGCAAUUCUAAAGGUGUAGUUUAAAUACUAAGACUU